rnacentral:sRNA from 1 species
GUGAUGGAAAUGCCUAGGUCCCUUAUUCAUUUAUAGAGCAGAUAAAACAUGUGCAGCAACAGUCCAAGUUUCCCCACACUGCCUUGCCAACUUGCUUCAACCCUGACUGCGAAGCAAGUACAGGAAGAAGACUGCCCAGAAGGCACAUGAUCACGUUAUCGGUACC